rnacentral:tRNA from 1 species
GCCUAGGUAGUUUAGUGGUAAAACAAACCCUUGGUAAGGGUUAGACUACGAGUUCGAUUCUCGUCCUAGGCU